rnacentral:rRNA from 1 species
AACGAACGCUGGCGGCAGGCUUAACACAUGCAAGUCGAGCGCCCCGCAAGGGGAGCGGCAGACGGGUGAGUAACGCGUGGGAAUCUACCCAUUUCUACGGAAUAACGCAUGGAAACGUGUGCUAAUACCGUAUACGUCCUUCGGGAGAAAGAUUUAUCGGAGAUGGAUGAGCCCGCGUUGGAUUAGCUAGUGGGUGGGGUAAAGGCCGACCAAGGCGACGAUCCAUAGCUGGUCUGAGAGGAUGAGCAGCCACACUGGGACUGAGACACGGCCCAGACUCCUACGGGAGGCAGCAGUGGGGAAUAUUGGACAAUGGGCGCAAGCCUGAUCCAGCCAUGCCGCGUGAGUGAUGAAGGCCCUAGGGUUGUAAAGCUCUUUCACCGGUGAAGAUAAUGACGGUAACCGGAGAAGAAGCCCCGGCUAACUUCGUGCCAGCCGCCGCCGUAAAAC